GAAACGAGAUAGUUAAUGUGAAUUGCAGAAUUCAGUGAAUCAUCGAGUCUUUGAACGCACAUUGCGCCCAUAGGUAUUCCUUUGGGCAUGUCUGUUUGAGCGUCAUUACAACCCUCAGCUAACCGCUGGUUUUGAACCUGAACGGGUGACACCGCGCCGGUUUUAAAGUUGUAAGCUCUGCUGGCCGCUCUGCCCAACCAGAACAUAGUAAGCACUACUUGUCCGGGUGAAGCUGAACGGUACGGCCUGAACAAAACCUACCCACUCUCAAGGUUUGACCUCAGAUCAGACAAGGAUACCCGCUGAACUUCAGC
rnacentral:misc_RNA from 1 species